rnacentral:rRNA from 1 species
UACGUAGGUGGCAAGCGUUGUCCGGAUUUACUGGGUGUAAAGGGCGUUCAGCCGGAGAGACAAGUCAGAUGUGAAAUCCACGGGCUCAACCCGUGAACUGCAUUUGAAACUGUUUCCCUUGAGUGUCGGAGAGGUAAUCGGAAUUCCUUGUGUAGCGGUGAAAUGCGUAGAUAUAAGGAAGAACACCAGUGGCGAAGGCGGAUUACUGGACGAUAACUGACGGUGAGGCGCGAAAGCGUGGGGAGCAAACAGG